CUUUUGUAAAUUUUAAUGUUUUAGAAUCAGUAGUGUAUCAGUGCAGUGUUGUCUCAGUGCGGUGUUGCUUUCCUUUGUCGUGGUCGUGUCUCCACCGUCCUCUGCCGCCGUCGCACAUCUUCCAUCAUUCUUGCUCACUUCUUCACUGUCUCAGAGCUGCAACUUUCUUUUGUAGCGUGGUCGUUUCUCAGAGGAGAAGAUCGUUCUCCACUCUCCACCGUCCUCCACCACCGCUGCACAUCGUUCUCCACCGUUCUUUCAUGGAAACUUCCUCCACCGCCGCUUGAGUAACCGUGCCAUACAAUCGGAGUGCGUUCAGAUUUGCCAUUGCGUUCAAUUUUCGUGCUCCUCUUUUCGUGCGUUCAAUCGGAGUGCGUUCAAUUUUUGUGCGUUCAAUCGGAGUGCGUUCAACUUUUGCUCUUCCGGGAUAUUCUAGCUUGUUUAAGAGAUUCAAGAACACCAUCGAAUUUUUGGUACAAUGUUCGUUGGCAUGGUUCACGAAGUUGCUUACGCCUUGCAAUAAAGGGAUACUUGCAAUACGUGAAGAAGGAAAAGGACGAAGACUCUUUGCAAAUUCACCAACUAAUUCAGUUUCUGGAAAUAGAGUUAAUCGAUGAUCAUGUAACUUGUUACAUGGGAGCAGAUGCUAAUACAGGUGAGCAGGCGGAUACAUAGAGACGAAGUGGGGAUCACGACGGGAUUAUUCACUCAGUUUUAUUAUAAUUUUCUUUUGUAAUGACUGAAUAGUACGAUUUUAAUUACUACGAAAGCGAUGUUGAACUUUUAAUUUUCCUGCGUUUUUGGGAAAUUACGAGAAUAAAUGCGAUGUUUU